rnacentral:rRNA from 1 species
UUAGGGGGAAAGAUUAUUGCCGAAGGAUUGGCCCGCGUCCGAUUAGCUAGUUGGUGAGGUAAUGGCUCACCAAGGCGACGAUCGGUAGCUGGUCUGAGAGGAUGAUCAGCCACACUGGGACUGAGACACGGCCCAGACUCCUACGGGAGGCAGCAGUGGGGAAUAUUGGACAAUGGGCGCAAGCCUGAUCCAGCCAUGCCGCGUGAGUGAUGAAGGCCCUAGGGUUGUAAAGCUCUUUCGCCAGGGACGAUAAUGACGGUACCUGGAUAAGAAGCCCCGGCUAACUUCGUGCCAGCAGCCGCGGUAAUACGAAGGGGGCUAGCGUUGUUCGGAAUCACUGGGCGUAAAGCGCACGUAGGCGGAUCUUUAAGUCAGGGGUGAAAUCCCGAGGCUCAACCUCGGAACUGCCUUUGAUACUGGAGGUCUCGAGUCCGGGAGAGGUGAGUGGAACUGCGAGUGUAGAGGUGAAAUUCGUAAUAUUCGCAAGAACACCAGUGGCGAAGCGGCUCACUGGCCCGGAACUGACGCUGAGGUGCGAAAGCGUGGGGAGCAACACGAUUAAUACCCUGGUAGUCCACGCCGUAACGAUGAUGCCUACCCGUUGGGGAGCUUGCUCUUCAGUGGCGCAGCUAACGCUUAAGCAUCCCGCCUGGGAGUACGUCGCCAGAUUAAACUUCAAGGAAUUGACGGGGGCCCGCACAAGCGGUGGAGCCUGUGGUUUAUUC